UACGGGGGGGGGCAAGCGUUUGUUCGGAAUUACUGGGCGUAAAGGGCGCGUAGGCUGCUCGUUAAGUCGGGUGUGAAAACUCUGGGCUCAACCCAGAGCCUGCAUUCGAAACUGACGAGCUAGAGUUCUGGAGGGGGAAAGCGGAAUUCCUGGUGUAGCGGUGAAAUGCGUAGAAUAUCUGGAGGAACACCGGUGGCGGAAGGGCGGCGAUGCCCUAGGGACCCGGAACAUUCGACGGCCUG
rnacentral:rRNA from 1 species